GUCUUAUAAAAAAAGGAGAGAAAGCUAGCACUCCCCUGACAAGGAGGGAAGAGGCCCCUGGGCUUUACAACACACAUGGCCACCUUCUUUAUGGCAUCUAACCACCAUUUUUG
rnacentral:ncRNA from 1 species